rnacentral:lncRNA from 1 species
AUUUUUUAGCCACAGCUGCCUUGCAGCAAUGACCAAGUUCCUCUGUAAUCUCAGCUCUGAUCAAGGGCAAUUUAAACAAGAAAGCCAAAAGCAGCCACAGACCACACAGAGAUAGAUGACUCUCUGCUCUGCAAAACACCCCAGACAACAGAGCCGUGGUUGUGGUCUUCUCCACGGAGGGCUCUGCAUUUAACAAGCCAUGUGAAAAACUUGCUGACCCAGCCAGGUAGCAGCAAUGGGAAACGUGAGGGCAUUCCCAGCCUGCUGCUGCCAGCUAUCACGCUCAAGCCGCCUGUGCUGCAGUCCCCCUUCCUGUGAGUCAAGUGGCACGCCUUUCGGGAAAGCACCUGCUCUCAGCUGUUCAGCAUGGGGGUCAGGGGAGAAAUGAAAUGGUCUUAUACCUGACCUGGGAGACAGCCCUGUGAGCCAUGAUACACACUGAGAGCAUUAACAGGUAUGCAGACAGCCCUCUGGACACCCUCUGAAGGCUUCUGGGCUUGUGCUGAGCUCAGAGGAAGAGGAAGAGUAGGGCAGAGAGCACCAAAAAUCUUCUGAAGUGGUUUUCAAAAGUGCUGCCCAGGUAUGUGAGCAUCUCUACACAGGCCAUGGCUGAGUCAAUGUUUUCUGUAAACUGAAAAGACAAAGAAGGGAUGUCCUUUGGCUUUCUGGAACCUGGGGCCUGGCUUGGAGCAGCGUUCAACCAGAUACGGUGGAAGGGAAGCCACAUGGGGCAAGCUUUCAAAGUUCCAGGAUGCCCUCCCAGGUGUCUCCUGGAGCUGCUCAUGGCCUGGAGUCUCCAAGGAUGACAGCGGCAGCAGGAAGCACCAGAGGCUGCAUGAAACCAGUCCCUUCAGGGCAGUGCCCACAUUUGAGGCCCAGCAAGGGAAAUACCACAUAAGUGACAUCUGAGCACAAAUUGUACAGACCGUGUACAUCCAACCAAGUGAGAGACAGGUAGGUAUCAAAAAGAUAAUGUAAAUGGAUACACUUCAGAAAGUAAGACGCUAUGUACACGUGACCGCUGAAUGAAUAAACCAGACUCAAUAGGACA